GAUGAACGCUGGCGGCGUGCUUAACACAUGCAAGUCGAGCGAGUGAGUUCUUCGGAACGAUCUAGCGGCGGACGGGUGAGUAACACGUGGGCAACCUGCCUCAUAGAGGGGAAUAGCCUCCCGAAAGGGAGAUUAAUACCGCAUAAAAUUAUCGAGUGGCAUCACAUGAUAAUCAAAGGAGUAAUCCGCUAUGAGAUGGGCCAGCGGCGCAUUAGCUAGUUGGUGAGGUAACGGCUCACCAAGGCGACGAUGCGUAGCCGACCUGAGAGGGUGAUCGGCCACAUUGGGACUGAGACACGGCCCAGACUGCUACGGGAGGCAGCAGUGGGGAAUAUUGCACAAUGGGGGAAACCCUGAUGCAGCAACGCCGCGUGAGUGAUGAAGGUCUUCGGAUUGUAAAGCUCUGUCUUUGGGGACGAUAAUGACGGUACCCAAGGAGGAAGCCACGGCUAACUACGUGCCAGCCGCCGCGGUAA
rnacentral:rRNA from 1 species